rnacentral:lncRNA from 1 species
GGUUACGUAACUUCUUUUCUUCCUCAUUCAAGAGGAGAUUUGCAUUAGGAAAAAAAAUUAUAUAUCAUGGAAAAGAGUAAGUUGAGGAGCUCAAUUUUUACUAUUUAAAUUAUAUAUCAUGAUAUCAAUUUUUAGUAUUUAAACUAGCUUGGAAUCCCGUAUGAUGGACAGCAUGUAAUUAUUUUUUUUUAAAUAAUAUUUUUAUAAAUUAAAAAUCUAACAUAAUAUAAAAGACAUCAUAGAUGAUAUCAAAUAUUUUAAAUAAAAAUAUAAAGUCAAAUUAUUUAAAUAAUAUUAUAGUAAUCGAAGAAGAUAGAAAAGCCCAC